AAGGUCGCACUUCUCUUGACGCAGGAUUAUGUAGACAGUUUUUGUGAGGGCAAAGGACGUUUUGCUCGUCUCUAUAUAAUGUCAGCUAUGUAUUCAUUGAGCACUAAGUGCUCAGUGCCUACUAUGUGCCAGGCCCUAUGAGAGUUGCUAGGACUAGAUGAAUCGGCAGUGUCUGUUUGCUAAUUUAGAAUUGAUCUUAAAUCAUCCCAGGAAACCUUUGGUUUAUUUGUCUUACCAUUCAAGUGAACAGGUUUUAAUGAAAGUUGGGUCUGUCUGUUUUUUUUCCUGUAAGGACAAUCGAAGCAAGCUGUUUGACUCCCCUUCCCUGUGUAGCUCCAGCACUCGGUCAGUGUUGAAGAGACCAGAACGAUCUCAAGAGGAGUCUCCACCUGGAAAUACAAAGAGGAGGAAGAGCAUGUCUGGGGCCAGCCCCAAAGAGUCAACUAAUCCAGAGAAGGCCCAUGAGACUCUUCAUCAGUCUUUAUCCCUGGCAUCUUCCCCCAAAGGAACCAUUGAGAACAUUUUGGACAAUGACCCAAGGGACCUUAUAGGAGACUUCUCCAAGGGUUAUCUCUUUCAUACAGUUGCUGGGAAACAUCAGGAUUUAAAAUACAUCUCUCCAGAAAUUAUGGCAUCUGUUUUGAAUGGCAAGUUUGCCAACCUCAUUAAAGAGUUUGUUAUCAUUGACUGUCGAUACCCAUAUGAAUACGAGGGAGGCCACAUCAAGGGUGCAGUGAACUUGCACAUGGAAGAAGAGGUUGAA
rnacentral:sRNA from 1 species